rnacentral:rRNA from 1 species
GUUACUUUAACAACCAGGAGGUUGGCUUAGAAGCAGCCAUCCUUUAAAGAAAGCGUAAUAGCUCACUGGUCUAGUGAUUUUGCGCGGAAAAUAUAACGGGGCUAAAAUAAGUACCGAAGCUGUAGACUUGCACUUAACUCUAGUUAUUUAGCUAAGAGCUUUUAUUUAAAGUUAUAUUUCUUUAAAAUAGCAUAAGCUAAAAUAAGCAAGAAGUAAUUAGAGUUAAGUGCAAGUGGUAGGAGAGCGUUCUAUAGGCGUUGAAGAUGUACCGGUAAGGAGCGUUGGAGCGUAUAGAAGUGAGCAUGCAGGCAUGAGUAGCGAUAAUUAAUGUGAGAAUCAUUAACGCCGUAAACCCAAGGUUUCCUACGCGAUGCUCGUCAUCGUAGGGUUAGUCGGGUCCUAAGCAAAGUCCGAAAGGGGUAUGCGAUGGAAAAUUGGUUAAUAUUCCAAUACCAACA